AAACACAUGCAAUCAGUGUGUGAGUGCGUGAGCGCAGCAACCAGCAAGAGGACACCACGCCCUUCCCCCCCUUAUAUAUACCCCAUAUAUCUCAGCUCAGCCACCUCGACCGGCUGCAGCUACCUGCUUGCUUGCUAGCUAGCUCCAAACAGACCGAUAGAUACAACCCCCGGCCCUUCACAUCAUCAGUCCACACACCCAACCCAACAAGCGAGUCACGACUGAAGCUGCAGCCUAAUAGCUAGCCGCUAGCCUAGCAGUCCAAUGAGAAGGCACGGCGCCAGCGAGGCCUCCCCUUCCAUCAUCCACACGUCCUCCAUAGCUCUCCUCCAGGAGAGGUUCAGAAACCUGCAGAAGGUGAAGGAGAUGAGGGAAGGCAGGGAGCUGCAGAGGGUGCACGCUGCUGAUACUACUACUACCACCACCAACCGCACCGCUUCGUCGCCGUCGUCCUCGUCGUCCCUGUCGUCGGCUCUCAGCCUCGGCCUCCAACAGGCCGCCAACGCCAACGAC
rnacentral:lncRNA from 1 species